rnacentral:rRNA from 1 species
UUGAACGCUGGCGGCAUGCUUUACACAUGCAAGUCGAACGGUAACAGGCCUUCGGGUGCUGACGAGUGGCGAACGGGUGAGUAAUGCAUCGGAACGUGCCCAAUCGUGGGGGAUAACGUAGCGAAAGUUACGCUAAUACCGCAUACGCCCUGAGGGGGAAAGCAGGGGAUCUUCGGACCUUGUGCGAAUGGAGCGGCCGAUGUCGGAUUAGCUAGUUGGUGAGGUAAAGGCUCACCAAGGCGACGAUCCGUAGCUGGUCUGAGAGGACGACCAGCCACACUGGAACUGAGACACGGUCCAGACUCCUACGGGAGGCAGCAGUGGGGAAUUUUGGACAAUGGGGGAAACCCUGAUCCAGCCAUUCCGCGUGAGUGAAGAAGGCCUUCGGGUUGUAAAGCUCUUUCGGCAGGAACGAAACGGUAAGGGCUAAUAUCCUUUGCUAAUGACGGUACCUGAAGAAGAAGCACCGGCUAACUACGU